rnacentral:rRNA from 1 species
GGGCCCGCACAAGCGGUGGAGCAUGUGGUUUAAUUCGAUGAUACGCGAGGAACCUUACCAGGGCUUAAAUGUAAGUUGCAUAGAUCAGAGAUGGUCUUUUCUUCGGACUACUUACAAGGUGCUGCAUGGUUGUCGUCAGCUCGUGCCGUGAGGUGUCAGGUUAAGUCCUAUAACGAGCGCAACCCCUGUCGUUAGUUACCAGCAAGUAAUGUUGGGUACUCUAGCGAGACUGCCGGUGCAAACCGUGAGGAAGGUGGGGAUGACGUCAAAUCAUCACGGCCCUUACGUCCUGGGCUACACACGUGCUACAAUGGCCGGUACAGAGAGCAGCCACUACGCGAGUAGGAGCGAAUCUUCAAAGCCGGUCUCAGUUCGGAUCGCAGUCUGCAACUCGACUGCGUGAAGCUGGAAUCGCUAGUAAUCG